AGAGCGAACGCUGGCGGCAGGCCUAAUACAUGCAAGUCGAGCGGCCACUUCGGUGGCAGCGGCGGACGGGUGAGUAACGCGUGGGAAUGUGCCCUUUGGUACGGAACAACUGAGGGAAACUUCAGCUAAUACCGUAUGUGCCCUUCGGGGGAAAGAUUUAUUGCCAUUGGAGCAGCCCGCGUUGGAUUAGCUAGUUGGUGGGGUAAAGGCCCACCAAGGCGACGAUCCAUAGCUGGUCUGAGAGGAUGAUCAGCCACACUGGGACUGAGACACGGCCCAGACUCCUACGGGAGGCAGCAGUAGGGAAUCUUGCGCAAUGGGCGAAAGCCUGACGCAGCCAUGCCGCGUGAAUGAUGAAGGUCUUAGGAUUGUAAAAUUCUUUACGACCGGGUAAGAUAAGUGACGGUACCCGGAGAAGACGCCCGGCUAACUCGUAGCCAGCCAGCCGAC
rnacentral:rRNA from 1 species